GGCCGCAUUAAUCUUCCUUCCUGGGGGAUCAAAGGUUCUUCUAAAAGCCGUGACAAAAGCAGUGUAGUUGUAGACUAAAGGAUUGUCAUUCUCCCAAAGGGGAUUGGCCCAUCUAAGUGCUUUAUCUAUUAGCAGGGUUAUAAUAAAGCCUACCUUAGCCCUGUCAGUGGGGUAAGCCUGGGGUUGAAGUUCGAAAUGUAUGCUUAUCUGGUUUAAAAAACCACGACAAGCAUCAGGCGAACCCCCA